UACGUAGGGUGCAAGCGUUGUCCGGAAUUAUUGGGCGUAAAGAGCUCGUAGGCGGUUCGUCGCGUCGAAUGUGAAAACCCGGGGCUCAACCCCGGGCCUGCAUUCGAUACGGGCAGACUAGAGUUCGGUAGGGGAGUCUGGAAUUCCUGGUGUAGCGGUGAAAUGCGCAGAUAUCAGGAGGAACACCGGUGGCGAAGGCGCCACUCUGGGCCGAAACUGACGCUGAGGAGCGAAAGCGUGGGUAGCAAACAGG
rnacentral:rRNA from 1 species